GACGACGCUGGCGGGCGUGGAUUAGGCAUGCAAGUCGAACGGUAGGAUACCUUCGGGUAUCUGAGAGUGGCGAACGGGUGAGUAACACGUAGGUGAUCUACCCUCAAGAUUGGGACAACCCAGGGAAACUUGGGCUAAUACCGGAUGAAAGCAGCAGUGAUGUUGUUUGAAAGGUGGCGUAAGCUGCCGUUUGGGGAUGAGCCUGCGCUCUAUUAGUUAGUUGGCGGGGUAAAGGCCCACCAAGGCGAUGAUAGAUAGGCGGCCUUAACGGGUGGUCGCCCACACUGGGAUUGAGAUACGGCCCAGACUCCUACGGGAGGCAGCAGUCGAGAAUAGUCUACAAUGGCCGAAAGGCUGAUAGUGCGACGCCGCGUGAACGAAGAAGCCCUUCGGGGUGUAAAGUUCUUUUAUAUGUGAGCAGUGCUUUCUAUGUGAACAGCAUGGGGAGAGAGAUAUUAGCAUAUGAAUAAGCAACGGCUAACUCCGUG
rnacentral:rRNA from 1 species